UCCUUCACAUGAGAAGAAGAGACAAUUCACAGAGCUAGCAUUAUUUUGCCUCCUGUCUUCAGAGGUAUAUUCUGCUGUUUUGUGAGAUAUUU
ensembl:snoRNA SNORA75 Small nucleolar RNA SNORA75